GUUUACGGCCAUACCACCCUGAACAAGCCCGAUCCUAUUUGAUCUCGGAAGCUAAGCAGGGUCAGGCCUGGUUAGUACUUGGAUGGGAGAACAACUAGGAAGACCAGGUGCUGUAAGUG
rnacentral:rRNA from 1 species